rnacentral:lncRNA from 1 species
AUGCUAUAUAGAUUAUAUAUCUAUUUUGGCCAGCAAUUGGCAUAUAUUUUGGACAACUAAAGCCUGAAGGAGCUAAUUCAUGCUAUGACUGACAGUGAAAUGCUAGCAACUGCAAGCAAAGUAUUUUGGAAGUCACUUGCUUUCGUGAAAGGCUAAUCAUACCUCUGCAACUUAUCCUAAAGUAGGAUGCACAACGCACCUGAGUAGCAAUAGCACAGGACACUCCUUGGAAAUCUUGAACAUGGAAUUCUAGUUCACCUCAACCUAGGCCUAAAUGUUAUCAUAGCAAUCUCAUUAACUGGAUAUGCAAAAUAAUAGUUAUGCAGAUCGAUCAUCAGAGGUUGAAAAUAUUCUGACUCGCAUGAUCUAAAAAAAUAACCUUAAAGCAACAUGUCCUUGCUAAGACAAGAUAGCUUCAACCACAGGACCUUAAGCAGCAGCAGAAGCUAUACGCUCAGAGGCACUGGGAGGCGCAGAUGACACUCAACUGCUGCAUUUAUGGAAGAGACCAUGGUAGCAACCAGCUUAGAGGAGCAUCUAUGGGAGAAGAAAUAAAGCUGAUGCCCACAUCGAGAAAAGCACAUCACCAG